GACGAACGCUGGCGGCGUGCUUAACACAUGCAAGUCGAACGGAAAGGCCCUGCUUUUGUGGGGUGCUCGAGUGGCGAACGGGUGAGUAACACGUGAGUAACCUGCCCUUGACUUUGGGAUAACUUCAGGAAACUGGGGCUAAUACCGGAUAGGAGCUCCUGCUGCAUGGUGGGGGUUGGAAAGUUUCGGCGGUUGGGGUUGGACUCGCGGCGUAUCAGCUUGUUGGUGGGGUAGUGGCUUACCAAGGCUUUGACGGGUAGCCGGCCUGAGAGGGUGACCGGCCACAUUGGGACUGAGAUACGGCCCAGACUCCUACGGGAGGCAGCAGUGGGGAAUAUUGCACAAUGGGCGGAAGCCUGAUGCAGCAACGCCGCGUGCGGGAUGAAGGCCUUCGGGUUGUAAACCGCUUUCGCCUGUGACGAAGCGUGAGUGACGGUAAUGGGUAAAGAAGCACCGGCUAACUACGUG
rnacentral:rRNA from 1 species